rnacentral:rRNA from 1 species
GAUGAACGCUGGCGGCGUGCCUAAUACAUGCAAGUCGAGCGAACGGACGAGAAGCUUGCUUCUCUGAUGUUAGCGGCGGACGGGUGAGUAACACGUGGAUGACAUACCUAUAAGACUGGGAUAACUUCGGGAAACCGGAGCUAAUACCGGAUAAUAUUUUGAACCGCAUGGUUCAAAAGUGAAAGACGGUCUUGCUGUCACUUAUAGAUGGAUCCGCGCUGCAUUAGCUAGUUGGUAAGGUAACGGCUUACCAAGGCAACGAUGCAUAGCCGACCUGAGAGGGUGAUCGGCCACACUGGAACUGAGACACGGUCCAGACUCCUACGGGAGGCAGCAGUGGGGAAUCUUCCGCAAUGGGCGAAAGCCUGACGGAGCAACGCCGCGUGAGUGAUGAAGGUCUUCGGAUCGUAAAACUCUGUUAUUAGGGAAGAACAUAUGUGUAAGUAACUGUGCACAUCUUGACGGUACCUAAUCAGAAAGCCACGGCUAACUACGUGCCAGCAGCCGCGGUAAUACGUAGGUGGCAAGCGUUAUCCGGAAUUAUUGGGCGUAAAGCGCGCGUAGGCGGUUUUUUAAGUCUGAUGUGAAAGCCCACGGCUCAACCGUGGAGGGUCAUUGGAAACUGGAAAACUUGAGUGCAGAAGAGGAAGGUGGAAUUCCAUGUGUAGCGGUGAAAUGCGCAGAGAUAUGGAGGAACACCAGUGGCGAAGGCGACUUUCUGGUCUGUAACUGACGCUGAUGUGCGAAAGCGUGGGGAUCAAACAGGAUUAGAUACCCUGGUAGUCCACGCCGUAAACGAUGAGUGCUAAGUGUUAGGGGGUUUCCGCCCCUUAGUGCUGCAGCUAACGCAUUAAGCACUCCGCCUGGGGAGUACGACCGCAAGGUUGAAACUCAAAGGAAUUGACGGGGACCCGCACAAGCGGUGGAGCAUGUGGUUUAAUUCGAAGCAACGCGAAGAACCUUACCAAAUCUUGACAUCCUUUGACAACUCUAGAGAUAGAGCCUUCCCCUUCGGGGGACAAAGUGACAGGUGGUGCAUGGUUGUCGUCAGCUCGUGUCGUGAGAUGUUGGGUUAAGUCCCGCAACGAGCGCAACCCUUAAGCUUAGUUGCCAUCAUUAAGUUGGGCACUCUAAGUUGACUGCCGGUGACAAACCGGAGGAAGGUGGGGAUGACGUCAAAUCAUCGUGCCCCUUAUGAUUUGGGCUACACACGUGCUACAAUGGACAAUACAAAGGGCAGCGAAACCGCGAGGUCAAGCAAAUCCCAUAAAGUUGUUCUCAGUUCGGAUUGUAGUCUGCAACUCGACUACAUGAAGCUGGAAUCGCUAGUAAUCGUAGAUCAGCAUGCUACGGUGAAUACGUUCCCGGGUCU